AAUUUCCGGAAACAACCCAACUAUUUUGCAGUCUUUCUGGUGUGACUGCAAAUUAUUUGGGUUGCUUCUGGUCAUUA